rnacentral:rRNA from 1 species
GAGUUUGAUCGUGGCUCAGAACGAACGCUGGCGGCAUGCCUAACACAUGCAAGUCGAACGGGAUCCAGGCUUCGGCCUGGUGAGAGUGGCGGACGGGUGAGUAACGCGUGGGAACCUGCCCAAUGGUCUGGGAUAACCGCGGGAAACUGCGGCUAAUACCGGAUAAGCCCGAGAGGGGAAAGAUUUAUCGCCGAUGGAGGGGCCCGCGUCCGAUUAGGUAGUUGGUGAGGUAACGGCUCACCAAGCCGACGAUCGGUAGCUGGUCUGAGAGGAUGAUCAGCCACACUGGGACUGAGAUACGGCCCAGACUCCUACGGGAGGCAGCAGUGGGGAAUAUUGGACAAUGGGGGCAACCCUGAUCCAGCAAUGCCGCGUGAGUGAUGAAGGCCUUAGGGUUGUAAAGCUCUUUUGGCGGGACGAUGAUGACGGUACCGCAGAAUAAGCACCGGCUAACUCCGUGCCAGCAGCCGCAGUAA